UGAACGCACAUUGCGCCCAUUAGUAUUCUAGUGGGCAUGCCUAUUCGAGCGUCAUUUCAACCCUUAAGCCUAGUUGCUUAGUGUUGGGAAUCUGCCCUGUAUUUAUAGGGCAGUUCCUUAAAGUGAUCGGCGGAGUUAGGGCAUACUCUAAGCGUAGUAAUAUUCUUCUCGCUUCUGUAGUUGUCCUGGCGGCUUGCCGUUAAACCCCUAUAUUUCUAGUGGUUGACCUCGGAUUAGGUAGGAAUACCCGCUGAACUUAAGCAUAUCAAUAAGCGGAGGAAAAGAAACCAACAGGGAUUGCCCUAGUAACGGCGAGUGAAGCGGCAACAGCUCAAAUUUGAAAUCUGGCCCUAGCGGUCCGAGUUGUAAUUUGUAGAGGAUGCUUUUGGUUAGGUGCCUUCUGAGUUCCCUGGAACGGGACGCCAGAGAGGGUGAGAGCCCCGUACGGUUGGACACCGAGCCUCUAUAUAGCUCCUUCGACGAGUCGAGUAGUUUGGGAAUGCUGCUCUAAAUGGGAGGUAAAUUUCUUCUAAAGCUAAAUACCGGCCAGAGACCGAUAGCGCACAAGUAGAGUGAUCGAAAGAUGAAAAGUACUUUGAAAAGAGGGUUAAAUAGCACGUGAAAUUGUUGAAAGGGAAGCGUUUGCGACCAGACUUUUUCCAGGCGGAUCAUCCGGUGUUCUCACCGGUGCACUUCGCCUGGUUUAGGCCAGCAUCGGUUCUCUUAGGGGGAUAAAGGCCUGGGGAACGUAGCUCCUUCGGGAGUGUUAUAGCCCCUAGCGUAAUACCCUUCGGGGGACCGAGGAACGC
rnacentral:rRNA from 1 species